CUUCAUACUUACGUGGGUAAAAAUGCAGAUGCAUUGGCUCAUUAUUUUGGAGAAGAUCCUGCACGUUGCCCAUUUGAGCAAGUCAUGGCUACUCUGCUCAGCUUUUCGAGGAUGUUUGUCAAAGCACAUGAGGAAAACUGCAAGCAACUUGAAAAUGAUAAGAAGAAAGCUAAGGAGGCAGAAAAUGAGAAGCCAAAAAAUUAGUACUUCCAUGAAGGAGUCUGAAGCUCUCAGCACUUGAUACAAGGUCCAAUCGCGAGCACUGCUAUUC